GUAGAGGCUGGUAUAUAGGAUGAUGUCAGAUUAUCAGAUGAUCCAUUUGGAAAAUUACAAUUCUGACUGUUUCACAUCCUCAGUCAUCACUGACGUCUUUGGGUUUGGUGAAAUAUCUGUCUGAGCAGCUAAACUUGUUUGCUCUGGGCAUAUGAGCUGUUACGCGACAUCAAAAACAGGAUAUCUGAACAUAGAGUUUUUUCCUUUUCUUGAUCAGGGACACUCUUAUGUGUCAUUGACCGACGUGUUAACCAUUAAUUGGCUUAUUUACAUCUGAUUUUAUAUUGCAUUUCAGUUGUGAGCAUGCGUCAUACUUUAAAGUAUAAAACCUGUGGUCCACUGAGUUCUCUCAAGCUGUUGUUAGAGCACUGGAGUGUGUCCAAAAUUUAAAAAUACAGUCACAGGCCAUACUUUCACAUUUGUGGAUCUGACAAUUCUGUAUAGUAAAUGCUGUACAUAUGUUUAUACAGAUUAUGUUUAAAUUCUGAGCCUUUCACUGUUACCAAACUAAACAAAUAGCAGUGUGUGUGGUUUUUCUAAACAAUGCAGUGAGGCAGUUGUGUUGUGUGAUUUACAAGCUUGUUAUGAUUUUGCAAGGCAUUGUGAAAGGUUUGGUAGAGACCUGGAAGUUGCACUAAUGAUUACUUGUCAUGUCAUGAUCAUGGGAAUUUACUGGACCAAGCCCUGGUUUACUCACAUCCAUCCAGUAUUUAAGAAACUGUAUCACUGAUGCCAGAAUAAAUACAGACUGUGACAUUCCAGCAACUGGACACGAACAUCUACACAAGGUAAUCUCUUUUUUAUGUUAUGUUAUGUUAUGUUAUGUUAUGUUAUGUUAUGUUAUGUUAUGUUUAUGGCUUUUAAAUGUAUCUUUACUGGUAAAAACUGAAUAAACAAUGAAUACAAGCAAGCAGAACUUAUUAAAACUAUUUUAAAUCUGUAGCAAACACUAUAUAUAAUAUAUAAAAUUUAUUUUUUCAGGAUGAAGACAUUACAUGCAAUGCUUCUGAUGCUGUUUGUUGCAUCAGUCUUUUCAAAAGCGUUUGAUUUGCGCAGAAGAUUUGAUUCAUCGGACUCUGUGCGAUCUAGUUUCAGUUCAGAGGAAAAUGAUUCAAGCAGGGAAGACAGGAAGGAUUCACAGUCCGAUGAGAGUUCUGAAUCCAAUGAGUCUAAAUCAAGUGAAUCUGAAUCUUCGGAAGAAGUUAUCAGAGUUGUGUCAAGCACAACAUCAGCUACCGCAACACAAGACAUCACACACUGUGUUACUGUGGAUCUGACAACUGUAAGAAGGGGUGAUAAUGAUAAUGUCAAUAUAAUACCUUGCAGUAAUACUAUUUAAUCAUCUUUUCUUGCAAAACAAACAAAAGUUGAAUGGUGUACUGUAUUUUACAGUAUAAAGUCAUAUUUAUGUACUGAUAAUGAAGGUCUUGAUACUGAAUGAUGUAACUUGAUGUAAAUGUGAUGUAAAAUUACUUUUAAAUUGCAUGUCCCCAUUAUGGUUUUAAAUGUUCAUUCAGAAUAAAAAUCUUUCAAGUGCAAUUGUCAUAAAAAUUUUAUGAUUUCAAAUCUUUCAGUAUAAUGAAAGAAGAAAUAAGCCCUCGUUUUCUAGUGGGAUUCAUUAUUGGUAGUACUUGGUCUAAAAGUCUUGGUACUACUUGGUCUAAU
rnacentral:lncRNA from 1 species